rnacentral:rRNA from 1 species
GAAACCCAGUGUGUUUCGACACACUAUCAUGUCAUGAAUACAUAGUGGCAUGAGGCGAACCGGGGGAACUGAAACAUCUAAGUACCCCGAGGAAAAGAAAUCAACCGAGAUUCCCCCAGUAGCGGCGAGCGAACGGGGAGGAGCCCAGAACCUGAAUCGGCUUGUGUGUUAGUGGAAGCGUCUGGAAAGUCGCGCAGCAAAGGGUGAUAGCCCCGUACACUAAAAUGCACAGGUCGUGAGUUCGAUGAGUAGGGCGGGACACGUGACAUCCUGUCUGAAUAUGGGGGGACCAUCCUCCAAGGCUAAAUACUCCUGACUGACCGAUAGUGAACCAGUACCGUGAGGGAAAGGCGAAAAGAACCCCGGCGAGGGGAGUGAAAUAGAACCUGAAACCGUGUACGUACAAGCAGUGGGAGCACCUUCGUGGUGUGACUGCGUACCUUUUGUAUAAUGGGUCAGCGACUUAUAUUUUGUAGCAAGGUUAACCGUAUAGGGGAGCCGUAGGGAAACCGAGUCUUAACUGGGCGAUUAGUUGCAAGGUAUAGACCCGAAACCCGGUGAUCUAGCCA